rnacentral:rRNA from 1 species
GAUGAACGCUGGCGGCGUGCCUAAUACAUGCAAGUCGAGCGAAUGGAUUAAGAGCUUGCUCUUAUGAAGUUAGCGGCGGACGGGUGAGUAACACGUGGGUAACCUGCCCAUAAGACUGGGAUAACUCCGGGAAACCGGGGCUAAUACCGGAUAACAUUUUGAACCGCAUGGUUCGAAAUUGAAAGGCGGCUUCGGCUGUCACUUAUGGAUGGACCCGCGUCGCAUUAGCUAGUUGGGGAGGUAACGGCUCACCAAGGCAACGAUGCGUAGCCGACCUGGGAGGGUGAUCGGCCACACUGGGACUGAGACACGGCCCAGACUCCUCCGGGAGGCAGCAGUAGGGAAUCUUCCGCAAUGGACGAAAGUCUGACGGAGCAACGCCGCGUGAGUGAUGAAGGCUUUCGGGUCGUAAAACUCUGUUGUUAGGGAAGAACAAGUGCUAGUUGAAUAAGCUGGCACCUUGACGGUACCUAACCAGAAAGCCACGGCUAACUACGUGCCAGCAGCCGCCGUAA